rnacentral:tRNA from 1 species
CAAAGUGGAGCUUGAUGAGUUAAGCAUUUCAUUUACACUGAAAAGUCACUGUG